AACAAAUAAUAGAAAUUUUUAAAGAAACAUUAAAAAGAACACAAAUGUCAUUCAAAUACAUCUCAAUUCAAUCUUAAUUUAAUUCUAAUUAAAAUCCUAUAGAACUUCAUUCAAACUUUAAACCAAACUAAUUGAAUCUUAAAACCUAAUAAAAUCCUAAAUCCUAAAUCAAACCCUAACCAAAUCCUAAAACUUAAAUCAAAUCCUAACCAAAUCCUAAAACUUAAAUCAAAUCCUAACCAAAUCCUAAACCAAAUCCUAAUCCAAAUCCUAAAUCCUAAACCAAACCCUAACCAAAUCCUAAACCAAACCCUAACCAAAUCCUAAACCAAACUCUAAUCCAAACCCUAAAUCAAAUCCUAAUCCAAAUCCUAAUUCAAAUCCUAAAUCCUAAACCAAAUCCUAACCAAAUCUUCAACCCUAAAUCAAAUCCUAUCCAAAUCCUAAACCCUAAAUCAAAUCCUAAUCCAAACCCUAAAUCCUAAACCAAACCCUAAUUCAAAUCCUAAACCCUAAACCAAAUCCUAAUCCAAAUCCUAAAUCCUAAACCAAACCCUAAUCCAAAUCCUAAACCCCAAACCAAAUCCUAACCAAACCCUAAACCAAAUCUUAAUAAUUCCUAUAACAGAUUUAAACCUCAAUAACUAAUGAAUAAACCGUCGAUCUUAACUCAAUUUUUACAAAAUUUUAAAAAAUAUAAGUGAA
rnacentral:lncRNA from 1 species